rnacentral:lncRNA from 1 species
CAUAAAAUAUAAAUGAAUUUUAUUUAUGAAUGUAUAGAUGUACAGCAAAUAGGAAAGAUAAUACAUUAAAAGAACAUAUACUAUAACCAGGUAGAGUUUUAUCUCAGGAAUUUAAGGAUGUUUUAAUAUUACAAAAACCCUUAUUAUAAUCAUAUUAGGCAAUUUAAGUGAUAAAAAUUUGAUUGUAUCAAAAGACACCAAUUCCUUUUAUCAAGCUUUUAGCUUCCAACAAACAAGAAUAGAAGAUGUUAUUUCUGUUAUCCUAACAAAGAACAUUUGUUUAAAACCAACAAUUAACUUCAUAUGUAAUGAAAAAAUAUCAAAAAAACUUAUUACAAUUUUAUGAAACACAAAAACAAAAUAGAAAUACCUAUGAUUUUAUAUUUAGAAAGAGCAAACAGGCCAUCUAAAACUGUUAGAACAAAGAAAAUCACCAAAAGAUACAUAUUUUAAAAGUUAAUAGCUUUCUAAUAAUAGAGAUUCCCAUGCUGACAGCAACAUAGAUAUAAAACAGCCAAGAAAGAAUUAAUUAAGGUAUAUAUAAAACCUAGACAAAAAGAAGAACCAAGUAUAAUGAAAAAAAUCAAGAAACAUGACAAUAAUGGAGACUAAAUCCCUCGAUGGAAAGAAUUAUAAUCAUAAAUGUAAGCCUUAAAGAGUUAACUUUAGAUGUAGACAAGUCAAACUGAAGCACUAAAAACAUGUUGACCUUAUAUAACACAUUCCUUAGGGGGAAAAAAAGAUUUUUUAAUAUUGGAAAAAAUAUGGUUAGGCAUAGUGGCUCAUGCCUGUAAUCCCAGCACAUUCAGAGGCCAAGGCGGGAGGACUGCUUGAGCUUAGGAGUUCAAGACCAGCCUGGGCAACAUAGUGAGACCUUGUCUCUACUAAAAACCUAAAAAGAUUAGCUGAGUAUGGUGGCAUGCACCUAUAGUCCCGGCUACUAGGGAAGCUGAGGCAAGAGGAUGGCUUGAGCCUGAGAAAUCAAGGCUGCAGGGAGCUGUAAUUGUGCCCUGCACUCCAGCCUGGGCAACAGAGUGAGACCCUGUCUCAAAAAAACGUCGGAGAAGGAGGAAAAACAAUGAAGACCAAUAUGCUACUGAUUCACAUGGAUUCAAAUACAAAGUAUAAUCCAUUAUAUGGCAAAAAAUAUGUCUUCACUACCAAGUGUUACAAUUACCAAGAAUAAAUAAUGUUUUGCUCAGAGCUAGUGAGUAAAAAAACACAGCAUUGCACACAGCAUUGCAACAUAAAGUAAGUGCUAUGUUAGGCCUGUAAGAAUGCUACAAGAGUCACCUCUUUUGGAGUCAAGAAAGGCCAACCUGGCGUUUUGAAGAAUCCAAUUUUGCUAGGUUGUGAGGUAGGAAGAAGGAAUGGCACUUAUAAAAGAGGGAACAUCAGGCUGAGUGCAGUGGCUCACGCCUAUAAUACUAACACUUUGGGAGGGCGAGGUGGGUGGAUCACUUGAGGUGAGGAGUUCAAGACCAGCCUGGCCAACAUGGUGAAACCCCAUCUCUACUAAAAAUACAAAAAUUAGCCAGGCAUGGUGGUACAUGCCUAUAAUCCCAGCUACUCGGGAGGCUGAGGCAGGAGAAUCACUUGAACCUGGGAGACGGAGGUUGCAGUGAGCUGAGAUCAUGCCACUGUACUCCAGCCUGGGCGACAGAGACUCCAUCUCAAAGGAAAAAAGAAAAAAAAAAAAAAAAAAAACAGGGAAUAUCAUUUACAGAGAAUCACAAGACAAAAUAGCACAUUCCAGAAAUUCCAAGUAGGUCAAGUACAUACAAUGUUGGUCUGCAUUUUAAAAACUCGACUAAAGUCAAUAUUCAAUCAGAACAUUUCUCAUAACAAUCUGAAUUUCUGGCUUCUUUUUAAAAAACUGGGCACUAUGACAAAGUGGGCCCACAUUCCCACGUGGAUACAAGAGGCAGGCGUCCCUUUUAGAUGGGACAGUUUGCCACAGCACUUCUCCCUUCUCCCACUGCUCUUGCAUCCAGUUCACUUCAUCCAUUUAACUCACCUUUCUAGUCCCUGCAGAGAACCCAAAGGUUAUAUACUCUGUACUACUGGCUGAGGAUGGACCUACAAAAAUUGAAUAUCAUCCAAGCACAGUAUUGCUGAGGUCCUUUCAUGAAAAUUUGAGGCCUCGUUAAAGGCUGUCCCACAUCAGCAUAGAUGAGGGCCCCAUUAAUAAAAGGCCAAAUAUAAAAUGAAAAAAUAAGAACAAUCAGAAAGCAGACACCAGAAAACUAUUCACUCAUACAUAUAUUUUUAAAAAUGCAAAUGACAGUAUCCUUUAGCAUCUAUAAGCUAAGCAAAAG